AUUGAACGCUGGCGGCAUGCCUAACACAUGCAAGUCGAACGAGUGGCGGACGGGUGUGUAAUGUCUGGGAACCUGCCCUAUGGAGGGGGAUAACUCCUGGAAACGGUAGCUAAUACCGCAUACCAUCGGAUGUGCCCAGAUGGGAUUAUCUAGUAGCUAGGGUAACGGCUUACCUAGUCGACGAUCCCUAGCUGGUCUGAGAGGAUGACCAGCCACACUGGAACUGAGACACGGGCCAGACUCCUACGGGAGGCAGCAGUGGGGAAUAUUGCACAAUGGGCGCAAGCCUGAUGCAGCCAUGCCGCGUGUAUGAAGAAGGCCUUCGGGUUGGAAAGUACUUUCAGCGAGGAGGCGUUACUCGCAGAAGAAGCACCGGCUAACUCCGUGCCAGCAGCCGCGGUAAUAC
rnacentral:rRNA from 1 species